GGCCUCCUCCAUACGCGUAUCAGCCAGCUCAUACGCGUAUUGCCUAGUGCCAUACGCGUAUGACCAGAAACCAGAACUCUCAGAUCUGCUAUGGCUUUCUCUGUUACGAAACCUAUCCGAUCCAACCUCCCACAGUCCAAAUUACACAAAAUAAUCGUCCAUAUCAUCUACACGAAUCAUAUCCUAUUCAUCUUCACCAAUCCUAACAUUAUCUCUUCUAAUUCCUACGAAUUCU
rnacentral:lncRNA from 1 species